rnacentral:rRNA from 1 species
AAUCACUUGUCCUUUAAAUGGGGACCUGUAUGAAUGGCACGACGAGGGCUCUACUGUCUCCUCUUUCCAGUCAAUGAAAUUGAUCUCCCCGUGCAGAAGCGGGGAUAUAGACAUAAGACGAGAAGACCCUAUGAAGCUUUAGACGCCACGACAGAUUACGUUAAACAACCCUUAUAAAGGAAUAAACAUAGUAACCCCCUGUCCGAAUGUCUUUGGUUGGGGUGACCGCGGGGCAACAAAUAACCCCCAUGUGGACUAGAAGAACUAGAACUUCUACAACCCAGAGCGACAGCUCUAAGUAACAGAAUUUUUGACCAAUUGGAUCCGGCAAUGCCGAUCAACGGACCGAGUUACUCUAGGGAUAACAGCGCAAUCCCCUUUUAGAGUCCC